rnacentral:rRNA from 1 species
UACGGGGGGAGCAAGCGUUGUUCGGAUUUACUGGGCGUAAAGGGCGCGUAGGCGGUCAGCACAAGUCAGUUGUGAAAUCUCCGGGCUUAACUCGGAAAGGUCAACUGAUACUGUGCGACUAGAGUGCGGAAGGGGCAACUGGAAUUCUCGGUGUAGCGGUGAAAUGCGUAGAUAUCCUAAGGAACACCAGUGGCGAAAGCGGCUCACUGGGUCUCUUCUGACGCUGAGGCGCGAAAGCUAGGGGAGCGAACGGG